rnacentral:rRNA from 1 species
GAUAUGGCUCAGGAUGAACGCUAGCUACAGGCUUAACACAUGCAAGUCGAGGGGAAACGACAUCGAAAGCUUGCUUUUGAUGGGCGUCGACCGGCGCACGGGUGAGUAACGCGUAUCCAACCUGCCCACCACUUGGGGAUAACCUUGCGAAAGUAAGACUAAUACCCAAUGACAUCCCACGAAGACAUCUGAAUGGGAUUAAAGAUUUAUCGGUGAUGGAUGGGGAUGCGUCUGAUUAG